rnacentral:rRNA from 1 species
GACGUAGGGCGCGAGCGUUGUCCGGAUUUAUUGGGCGUAAAGAGCUCGUAGGCGGUUUGUCGCGUCUGCUGUGAAAACGCGAGGCUCAACCUCGCGCCUGCAGUGGGUACGGGCAGACUGGAGUGCGGUAGGGGAGAUUGGAAUUCCUGGUGUAGCGGUGGAAUGCGCAGAUAUCAGGAGGAACACCGAUGGCGAAGGCAGAUCUCUGGGCCGUAACUGACGCUGAGGAGCGAAAGCGUGGGGAGCGAACAGG